GGGACCGCGGGGCGAGAGGGGGGUGUGAGACGGAGGGAGGAAGGGUUUACCGGAGUUGCGGGGGGUAAAGCGGGGGGAGGCGGCUGGUGAGGUCCGUUGUGAAAUCGCCCGGCUCAACGUGGCGGGGGCAUGGGAUACGAUGGAGAUUGAGCAAGAGAGGGGGCAAGGGAAUUCCCGGUGUAGUGGUGGAAUGCGUAGAUAUCGGGAGGAACACCAGUGGCGAAGGCGGUUGCCUGGGGCUUUGCUGACGCUGAUGCGCGAAAGCGUGGGGAGCGAUCCGGAUUAGAUACCCCGGUAGUC
rnacentral:rRNA from 1 species